rnacentral:rRNA from 1 species
AGGACGAACGCUGGCGGCGUGCUUAACACAUGCAAGUCGAGCGGUGAUCCUCCUUCGGGAGGUGAUCAGCGGCGAACGGGUGAGUAACACGUGGGCAACCUGCCCCUCACACUGGGAUAACCUCGGGAAACCGGGGCUAAUACCGGAUACGACCUCGAGCGGCAUCUCUUGAGGUGGAAAGCUCCGACGGUGAGGGAUGGGCCCGCGGCCUAUCAGCUUGUUGGUGGGGUAAUGGCCUACCAAGGCGACGACGGGUAGCCGGCCUGAGAGGGCGACCGGCCACACUGGGACUGAGACACGGCCCAGACUCCUACGGGAGGCAGCAGUGGGGAAUAUUGCGCAAUGGGGUGAAAGCCUGACGCAGCGACGCCGCGUGAGGGAUGAAGGCCUUCGGGUUGUAAACCGUCUUUCAGCAGGGACGAAGCGAAAGUGACGGUACCUGCAGAAGAAGCACCGGCUAACUACGUGCCAGCGAGCCGC